AGAGACGUGGCAGAGCGGCUUAUUGCGGGUGCCGCCUGAGAGGUUAAUUGCCUCAAAGGAGCACUCCCGGAAUUCCUUCAAAGUUGACCGGCGCGGGUUCGAAUCCCGUCGUCUCGU
rnacentral:tRNA from 1 species